UUUUAUAGAGGGAGCUGAGACUCCCAAAUGCAGAGAUAGCAGGUGGCAGAUGGAGGCUCCGCUGGGGCCCUGGUUUUCCCAAAGGUCCUGACUGCGACACUCGGGUGAGUUCCGGAGGAGAACACCCGUGGAGAUUGGAGCAUACUUGUGCGCAGCGGGCACAGCAGUACAGGCGGAGAGAGGGCUGGGUCCAGAGAAAGCCUGGCCAGCAGGUGUGGGCUGGACAGAUCCCAAGGACUGGACCAGAGGGCAAAGGGGCUCUCUGGAGCACAAAGUGACAGGGAGCAGGACACAGUGAAGGCCCAGAGGACUUGGGCAGGUAGGGUGCAUUCCAAAGGGGCCAGCUGGCAGAGCCCAGGAGGGCUUUAGAGGAAACGGAGGGAGCCGGAGGGGUGGGUCUGGCCCAGGCAGGCUGCUGCUGGGUUCCCGAGUGGCAAGCCCCGCUGCCUGCAGAAGUGACUGCUGGCCUCUUCGUCACCGUGUGGAGGAUUCCUGCCAUACACGGUCCCUGCCAAGGUGCUGAAGCCCUUCCAUUGCAGGGGAGAGAGGUGCUGGCAGAGUGAGAUGGUAGGCUGCUUCCCCCUGGGACGAGGAGACGAAGACACCCAGGUCCCUCAGAAGACUCCACGAGACGGCCAGCAGCCAGGGCCAAAAGCAAAGGCCAGCACAGUGUGACCUCCGCGCAGGUCAAGAGAGUUAGAUCUACGCAGCUCUGGCACCCACCUCCCGCAGCUGAGCACUGACCCUAAGGAGAUGGUCACGAGAGGAGCGAAGCUGUGUGGGGACAAGGUGGUGGCUGUAGAGUGUCACGUUGACCUACAGACACGUGUCACAUUGACCUACAGACACGUGUCACGUUGACCUACAGACACGGGAAUCCCAAGAGCCCACCCAGCCAAGAACAGGCUUCGUUAGACAUGGUGAUGUGUCCGCAGUAGAGUGCCAUCCUGCCUCUGGAGGUCGACGUGGUCGCAGCCCAGGAAGUUAAGAAACCAAGCGGCAAACAUUAAACACAGAAGGAUCCCUUGCUUAUGAAUACACGGACGCAGGCCACCGGCUUAUUAAAUAUGUAAGGAAGGAGUCGGUGUGGGGGUGCUGUCAUGGGCCCUGGGGCUGGGGAGGAAGUUCAGGGUGUUAUUUGGGGGAUGUCAGGCAGUGGACACAUAAACUCAGGCCUCAACAGGGACCUUUGAGGCUGGUUCGACACCAUGAAGGAGACCACGCAAGAUGGACCAGUUUAGUCACUGUCCAAGGAGGUGACAUUUGACCGUGACCUGCACGCUAAAAACCCAGCCUUGGAGGUCAGGGAAGAGCAUUUCAGAAACAGACCAGGACUGGGGAGUGACGAUUGGGGUUCUGGGGGCUGAAGAGAGAAGACGGAAAGAUAAACGGCUUGUGAGUGUGAGUGGCCAGCCCGGCCAGCUGAGUCCCUGAUGACAGUGACCGGCGGCCAAGGAGGGGCGUUUCCAAGGACUUGGUUCUGUGCCUGGUGCCGCAGGGUGCCCUGGGAUUGCAGAUGAGGUGGUGACCGUGUUUCCCCGUCCAGAAGGGACUGCCUGGAAGGGUCAGGGAUAGGACAAGUUCUCUUUCCUUCUCUGUGCUCUUCUGGAACCCCCACACUUCUGCCAUUAGGAGCAAACACAUAAUCAUUUCUGCUUAAAAAAUAAAAUACACCAGAGAGCAUGCUCAUCUCCUGGAAGACGUACCUGUCCAAGUGCUGGAACCUCGCACCCUGGCUAUUAGGCGCAUGGAAGAUUCCUUCUCCACUUUGAGACAAGGGAGCUGUGUUAGAGAAAUGCCCUGUGAGGAUCCCCAGCCCCUGAAGCUGUGAGAGUCCGUCCAGGAGUUUGGCUUCCGUCCUCGACUGUUUGGCUGCUGUCAGAGGAUUCCACUAACUGCCGCGCUCUGCGGUGCUGGGAUUGAGCCCAGGGCCUCGAGCCUGCCCAGCAGGUGCUGCACCUGGAGCUACAUCCAGAGCCCAGAAGGCCACCCACGGGGCAGCCUAUGGCCAUAGACAUGUAUUACCCACAGUUCCAGAGCCGGGAAGCCCAAGGUCACGGCUGGGUGUCUGGCCAGGGCUCACCUUUUGGUCCACAGGCAGCUCCUUCUGCCUCUCACUUGGAGGAAGGAACGAGGGGGGCUCUGGGGCCUCUUUCAUGAGGGUGCCAAUCCCAUUCUUGAGGGUUCCUCCCUGGAGACCUAUCAGCUCCCAAAGGCCCAGCCUCCUAAGGCCGUGGCCUUAGAGUUCAGGACUCAGGGUACACAGAGGUUUCUCACCCACUGAUGGAGCAAGGGGGGCUCUCAACAGCACAGCCCUUGGGGACAGUCUGGGUGGCUGGAUCUCCAGGUGGCAGCAAAGACAGGACUCAUCACAUGCGCACCGUAUGUGCACGUUUCCCGGGGGUGGCUCUCGGCUUGUCGAUCAGAGCAGAUGGUGCGCUGGAGAUGAGAAGCCCCCCUCUCCGCCCACCACAGAACGGAGCUGUUGACUCCAGGUGCCACCAUCUUUCAGUGGCCUCUGCAGACACCUCUUGCGGAGGUCGCCUUCCCCUAAGAGUCUGGGGAAGCCCCGUGCGUCAUCCCCAGGUGGUUCCUGCUCCCAGGACCCCUCCCUGCUCCUGACCUGGUGAGGGUCUGCUUUGCCUGGGCAUGGCACCCACACUUCCUGGCCUGCCCCCCAAGGCCUGCACAACCUGGGUCCUUCCAACCCACAUCCUUGUGUAGCAGCCCAUCCCUUGCUCCACCAGGGCCUCGUGCCUCUCUGGCUGCCAGGAUCUCCCUCUUUGAAUCCUCUGCUUCUGCCCGGGGGUCACCUGGCACUGGCAGGACUGGAGAUGGGUGAAGAAUGCAGGAACACCCGGGGCCACCCCAUGGUUCACGUCACUGCCGUCAACACCUGAGCAUCUGCGUGGGUGUGUACCCGAUGGCUUUGUAUUUGCCAGACUCUGGCAGGUAGCCACUGUCCCCGGUUACCUGUGACUUUCCCAGUUUUAACAUUGGAAGCUGAUGGUCCCAGACUCCCCAUCCAAGGCACAUUGGCAUGGCUGGCCAACCACUGGGUGAGAGCAGACCUUCUAUCUGGGGUCGUGGCUCAGUGGUUAAGUGACCCUGGGUUUAAUCCCUGGUACCAUAAAUAAAAGUGACCCUGGCUUCCACUAGUGGGAGAGGACGAUGUUCAACAAAUGAACCUGCAAGGAAACUGCGGAGUCAGCCUCUGUGUCCGAGGGUCCGUAACUGUGGAUCCAACUAACCUUGGGGUGAACACAGUUUUAAACUAUGGCAUCGGCACCAACCACAUGUAGACUCCUUUCUGUCUCUCGUCCCUAAGACAAUGCAGUAGCCAGCUCCACAGCACUGUCACUGCAUUGAGGAUCGUAAGUCAUUCAGAGGCGCUAUAAAGUAAACAGGAGGAAGGAGGAGGUUCAGUGCAAAGACAGAGCCAUUUUUUUAAGGGACAUAAACACAUGGAUUUGAGGGUCUACCAAGGGCCUGGAAUCAAUCCCCAGGAAGGACUAUAAUUACAAACUGUGACGAGCUCAAAGAAGGAUAAGCCAACCGGAGCUGGGCUGCGUAGACAUCUCCUGGGUCAGCUGGAGAGUCCGUUUUCCUCAGAGUCAGUCUGGAGACUCCAUUUCUCGCUUGAGGGUCCCCGGUGCCCAUCUGCCUCUCGCUGACGGUGACAUGAGAUCAUGUGUUCUUGCUGUGGAGACCCGAUAUCCCGAAAAGUCCCCCCAAGUCUCCUAUAAACUUGGAGAGGCGGGGAGGGGGCCAGCAGGGAGGAUCAGGGAGGAGACCACGGGGUAGUCUGGCUUUGGGGUGUAAGAUUUGCUUCCUCAUUUGUUCCCAAAUACUUAACAAAGCAUGCUUCCAGGUGCCAAGAAGGCAGAAGUAGACCAGACAGGUGUGCUGCCCCCAGGAGUUCCUCCUCUGGUGAAGGUCAGAGAAAAACAAGACUAAGAGAGAAAAAUCAUCAUAAAUUGAAAAAAAAGAAAGUUUAAUAAAAGCCAGAAUA